rnacentral:rRNA from 1 species
CAGUCGCCGCGGGAAUACGUAGGGUGCGAGCGUUAAUCGGAAUUACUGGGCGUAAAGCGUGCGCAGGCGGCUUUGCAAGACAGAUGUGAAAUCCCCGGGCUCAACCUGGGAACUGCAUUUGUGACUGCAAGGCUAGAGUGCGGCAGAGGGAGAUGGAAUUCCGCGUGUAGCAGUGAAAUGCGUAGAUAUGCGGAGGAACACCGAUGGCGAAGGCAAUCUCCUGGGCCUGCACUGACGCUGAGGAGCGAAAGCGUGGGGAGCGAACAGGAUUAGAUACCCCCGUAGUCCCUGUCUCUUAUAC